rnacentral:rRNA from 1 species
GACAGAGGUGCCAAGCGUUAGGCGGAAUCACUGGGCUUAAAGCGUGUGUAGGUGGAUUUGUAAGUACCUUGUGAAAUCCCAUGGCUCAACCAUGGAACUGCUCGGUAUACUGCGAAUCUUGAGCCACUUAGGGGCUACCGGAACAAAUGGUGGAGCGGUGAAAUGCGUAGAUAUCAUUUGGAACGCCAAUGGUGAAUACAGGUAGCUGGGGCUGUGCUGACGCUGAGACACGAAAGCCAGGGGAGCAAACGGG